GCAGCCUUCGCCCUCCUCAUCCCGCUCCCCAGCUCUGCUGUGUGGUUGCUGUUCUAGGCUGGCAGUGGGAACUGUGCGAAAAGAAGCAAAUGCAGGGGGACUUUGCACUGCGAACUGCUGUUGUCACGCUGCAAUAAUGGCAAUAAAAUAAAGGGAAAUGUUGCAUAUGUUCCAGGUGCAGAAGCUUCUGUUGUUUUUAUGAAUGCAGAGUUCUUCAGGCAGUGUGUAUAUAUGUUUUUCAACACGUUAUUAAACAAACUUUUUCAAGGAUUUAAAGGUCCAUAUCCAUGGAGAAGCUACCAGGCAGUGUUGAGGCCUGACCUCACACACAAGUGCAGUGAGAACCUCUCUGCUCAGGGAUGUGUUCCUCAGUCUUCACCUGCAAAACAAAAAAUCUGCUGGGCUUGAAGAGAUAUUUUAAUU